rnacentral:rRNA from 1 species
AGAGUUUGAUCCUGGCUCAGGACGAACGCUGACGGUGUGCUUUAGACAUGCAAGUCGAACGAGAAAGCCCUUCGGGGUGAGUACAGUGGCGAACGGGUGAGUAACACGUGGGUAACCUGCCCCUCGCAGGGGGACAACCGGGGGAAACCCCGGCUAAUACCCCGUACGCUCCGAGGUCCGCAUGGUCCUCGGAGGAAAGGUAGCUUCGGCCAUCCGGCGAGGGAUGGGCCCGCGGUCCAUUAGCUAGUUGGUGGGGUGACGGCUCACCAAGGCGACGAUGGAUAGCUGGUCUGAGAGGAUGAUCAGCCACACUGGGACUGAGACACGGCCCAGACUCCUACGGGAGGCAGCAGUCGGGAAUCUUGCGCAAUGGGCGAAAGCCUGACGCAGCAACACCGUGUGGGCGACGAAGGCCUUCGGGUCGUAAAGCCCUGUUGUUGGGGACGAAGGGCGAAGGGUUAAUAGCCCCUAGCUUGACGGUACCCUUCGAGGAAGCCCCGGCUAACUACGUGCCAGCAGCCGCGGUAAUACGUAGGGGGCGAGCGUUGUCCGGAAUUAUUGGGCGUAAAGAGCGUGUAGGCGGUUUGGUAAGUCUGCCGUGAAAACCCGGGGCUCAACCCCGGGCGUGCGGUGGAUACUGCCAGGCUAGAGGAUGGUAGAGGCGAGUGGAAUUCCCGGUGUAGCGGUGAAAUGCGCAGAUAUCGGGAGGAACACCAGUAGCGAAGGCGGCUCGCUGGGCCAUUCCUGACGCUGAGACGCGAAAGCUAGGGGAGCGAACAGGAUUAGAUACCCCAGUAGUCC